rnacentral:rRNA from 1 species
GACGAACCGUGCGAACGUUGUUCGGAAUCACUGGGCUUAAAGGGCGCGUAGGCGGUCUGCCAAGUCGGGGGUGAAAUCUUUCGGCUUAACCGGAAAAGGGCUUUCGAUACUGGCAGACUUGAGGGAGGUAGGGGCAGAUGGAACUUCCGGUGGAGCGGUGAAAUGUGUUGAUAUCGGAAGGAACGCCGGUGGCGAAAGCGAUCUGCUGGACCUCUACUGACGCUGAGGCGCGAAAGCCAGGGGAGCGAAUGGG